rnacentral:rRNA from 1 species
GUGGGGAAUUUUGGACAAUGGGCGCAAGCCUGAUCCAGCAAUGCCGCGUGCAGGAAGAAGGCCUUCGGGUUGUAAACUGCUUUUGUACGGAACGAAACGGUCCGGGUUAAUACCCUGGGCUAAUGACGGUACCGUAAGAAUAAGCACCGGCUAACUACGUGCCAGCAGCCGCGGUAAUACGUAGGGUGCAAGCGUUAAUCGGAAUUACUGGGCGUAAAGCGUGCGCAGGCGGUUUUGUAAGACAGGCGUGAAAUCCCCGGGCUCAACCUGGGAAUUGCGCUUGUGACUGCAAGGCUGGAGUGCGGCAGAGGGGGAUGGAAUUCCGCGUGUAGCAGUGAAAUGCGUAGAUAUGCGGAGGAACACCGAUGGCGAAGGCAAUCCCCUGGGCCUGCACUGACGCUCAUGCACGAAAGCGUGGGGAGCAAACAGGAUUAGAUAACCUAGUAGUCC